rnacentral:rRNA from 1 species
AUUGAACGCUGGCGGCAGGCCUAACACAUGCAAGUCGAACGAGUGGCGGACGGGUGAGUAAUGUCUGGGAAACUGCCUGAUGGAGGGGGAUAACUACUGGAAACGGUAGCUAAUACCGCAUACCAUCGGAUGUGCCCAGAUGGGAUUAGGUAGUAGGUGGGGUAAAGUCUCACCUAGGCGACGAUCCCUAGCUGGUCUGAGAGGAUGACCAGCCACACGGGAACUGAGCUACGGUCCAGACUCCUACGGUAGUCAGAGGUGGGGAAUAGUGCACAAUGGGCGGAAGCCUGAUGUAGCCAUGCCGUGUGUCUGAAGAAUGCCUUCGGGUUGUAAAGUACUUUCAGUGGGGAGGCGUUACCCGCAGAAGAAGCACCGGCUAACUCCGUGCCAGCAGCCGCGGUAAUA